ensembl:lncRNA
AGCUGCCCACGUGGCUGUGUACGAGGCUGAAGCUGCCCACGUGGCUGUGUACGAGGCUGAAGCUGCCCACGUGGCCACGAGGCUGAAGCUGCCCACGUGGCUGUGUACGAGGCUGAAGCUGCCCACGUGGCUGUGUACGAGGCUGAAGCUGCCCACGUGGCUGUGUACGAGGCUGAAGGCCCACGUGGCUGUGUACGAGGCUGAAGGGGCCCACGUGGCUGUGUACGAGGCUGAAGGGGCCCACGUGGCUGUGUACGAGGCUGAAGGGGCCCACGUGGCUGUGUACGAGGCUGAAGGUGCCCACGUGGCUGUAAGACGUCUCUAAGUCAUACUGCGUCUGGUGUGUGAGGGGCUCCUUGUAAGAAUGUGAAAAUAAAAGGGGAACUGUUUCUUCAGAGCGGUCAGUGAAGCACUACGCAAUCCAUUAUAUGGAUGAGGACAGUCUGGGAAACCUUUUUGAUAUGGUAAACUGCAAAGGGAACGAGAUUCAAGGUGGCGUUUGAUAACUUUUUUUUUUUCGAUUGGGACAGGUGCACGCUUCUCAGAGAUCACACGUGUCCCACAAUCGGCAGCCUUGAAAAGGGUCAUAUUGACAAUCCGACCCAUGAACCAGAUGGUUGGGGAUGAAGAUCUGGAACAUCAACCAGGUGUCAGAUAUGCCACACACUGUGUAGAUUAGUAAAGACAUAGGUGGAUAGCGUAUACAAUCACUGUCAUAUCGCUUGGUACAUGUGCCAUUACAAAGUGCUUGUGGUGUUGUAUUCAAUGUACACAUGUGAAUAAAGACAAUAUUGUUCAGAGAUGGAAUAACCAGUCACAUGCAUUGAAAUAGUACAAUACAUCCAUAACCACAGCAGGACAUAGUGACAGUAUCCAUUUUCAAAGAACACAACCUCUAUUGCGCCCAGAAAAUAAUCAAAGGGGUUGGUAUAGUUAGGCCUCCAUAGAUGACCACCUAGUCAUCUCCCUCCUCGUCAUCGGCCAUAUACUUGAGAGAAUGAUAAAUAAUAACAUUACACUUCGCUUGUGUAUAACCUGUUGGUAAUCACCGUAUAUACACACACUACCAUGUCAUCGUCUGCGUUGUUGAGCUCGGGAUGAGGUAAUGCUGGGUGAGGUUGAGGCUGUGCAUGGUUGAGGACCUCUGGGUGAAACAGUGGAUGCUCUUGUUCCAAGACAAGGUUCCUAGGUCCCUCCUCGUCAGAAGAUAGUAUGUAGUCACUCUCCUGAAUGUGCAUUAAAGGCGCUCUCCUGAAUGUGCAUUAAAGGCGCUCUCCUGAAUGUGCAUUAAAGGCGCUCUCCUGAAUGUGCAUUAAAGGC